UUCCGUAGGGUGAACCUGCGGAGGGAUCAUUA
rnacentral:rRNA from 14 species